AUGCUCGAGAGACCGGCAGAUGGCAAGGGGUAUCUCAUGACAGCAGAAGACGGUGGACUAGGAUUCGCCACCAUGGUGGAUGUCACAAAUCUAACCCUUUGGUCAAUGCAAACUGGACUGGAAGGAGCCAUGGGAUGGGCAAAAGUAAGGACAAUUGAUCUUACGCGGCUGCUACUUGAUGGGGCGCUCUCCAUCACGUCAACUCAAGAUGGAAUUUGUGGUGUUGCCGAAGGAGCCCAAAUCAUUUUUUUGAGCACACGGCUUGGUACCUACAGAAUUGACCUCAAGUCAAGGCGAGCCAGGAUUGUAUCUGGUCCCGGCAGCAAAGUCUUUCCCUGCCAGAGAUCUUACAUACCAGUAAUGGAAGCAGCUUGUAUGGAGCAGGAGCAGUGA
rnacentral:rRNA from 1 species